CCUGAUGCAGCCAUGCCGCGUGUGUGAAGAAGGCCUUCGGGUUGUAAAGCACUUUCAGUUGUGAGGAAAAGUUGGUAGUUAAUACCUGCCAGCCGUGACGUUAGCAACAGAAGAAGCACCGGCUAACUCCGUGCCAGCAGCCGCGGUAAUACGGAGGGUGCGAGCGUUAAUCGGAAUUACUGGGCGUAAAGCGCACGCAGGCGGAUUGUUAAGCUAGAGGUGAAAGCCCCGCGCUCAACGUGGGAAUUGCCUUUAGAACUGGCAGUCUAGAGUCUUGGAGAGGGGAGUGGAAUUCCAGGUGUAGCGGUGAAAUGCGUAGAGAUCUGGAGGAACAUCAGUGGCGAAGGCGACUCCCUGGCCAAAGACUGACGCUCAUGUGCGAAAGUGUGGGUAGCGAACAGGAUUAGAUACCCUGGUAGUCCACACCGUAAACGCUGUCUACUAGCUGUUUGUGAUUUUAAAUCGUGAGUAGCGAAGCUAACGCGCUAAGUAGACCGCCUGG
rnacentral:rRNA from 1 species